rnacentral:rRNA from 1 species
AUUGAACGCUGGCGGCAUGCCUUACACAUGCAAGUCGAACGGCAGCACGGGUGCUUGCACCUGGUGGCGAGUGGCGAACGGGUGAGUAAUACAUCGGAACGUACCUUAUCGUGGGGGAUAACGCAGCGAAAGCUGUGCUAAUACCGCAUACGCCCUGAGGGGGAAAGCGGGGGAUCGCAAGACCUCGCGCGAUUAGAGCGGCCGAUGCCUGAUUAGCUUGUCGGUGGGGUAAAAGCCCACCAAGGCGACGAUCAGUAGCUGGUCUGAGAGGACGAUCAGCCACACUGGGACUGGGACACGGCCCAGACUCCUACGGGAGGCAGCAGUGGGGAAUUUUGGACAAUGGGGGCAACCCUGAUCCAGCAAUGCCGCGUGAGUGAAGAAGGCCUUCGGGUUGUAAAGCUCUUUUGUCAGGGAGGAACUUAGCCAUUAAUACUGGCUGAGGAUGACGGUACCUUGAUAAGAAGCACCGGCUAACUACAUGCCAGCAGCCGCCGUAA